rnacentral:rRNA from 1 species
UACGUAGGGAGCAAGCGUUGUUCGGAUUUACUGGGCGUAAAGGGUUCGUAGGUGGCCAACUAAGUCAGACGUGAAAUCCCUCAGCUCAACUGGGGAACUGCGUCUGAUACUGAUUGGCUUGAGUGCAGGAGAGGAACGCGGAAUUCCAGGUGUAGCGGUGAAAUGCGUAGAUAUCUGGAGGAACACCGGUGGCGAAGGCGGCGUUCUGGACUGCAACUGACACUGAGGAACGAAAGCCAGGGGAGCAAACGGG